rnacentral:rRNA from 1 species
UACGUAGGGUGCGAGCGUUGUCCGGAAUUAUUGGGCGUAAAGAGCUUGUAGGCGGUUUUGUCGCGUCUGCUGUGAAAAUCCGGGGCUCAACCCCGGACUUGCAGUGGGUACGGGCAGACUGGAGUGUGGUAGGGGAGACUGGAAUUCCUGGUGUAGCGGUGAAAUGCGCAGAUAUCAGGAGGAACACCGGUGGCGAAGGCGGGUCUCUGGGCCGAAACUGACGCUGAGGAGCGAAAGCGUGGGGAGCAAACAGG